CACAGUAUAGCUUAACACUUAAAGCACCCCGCUUACACCGGACAGAUCUCUGUGAAACUCAGACUAUUGUGA
rnacentral:tRNA from 1 species